rnacentral:misc_RNA from 1 species
CAUUGCUUUGUCGAUUUGAUUUCUAGUUGUCCCUUUGUCCCUUGUGUUAUUCAAAGUUCAUAUUGACAUUGUUUUGGUUAGUUUGACGCGUUGGCGUGUGAGUGGCUAUAUGAGUGUAUGUGUUGGCUGGCUCCCUGGUUAUGCAGCAACUGGUCGGCAUAUACAUAUUUCACUUGAGACGGUGUUGUGAAUGUUGGAUUUUUGUGUUGCCAACCAGUUGAUGGAAUUCCCAUGUCCCUGACGCGUAAGUUUGCCGAACAUCCCUUGAGGUGCUAGGCGAACGUAGAAGCUACUCCUUUUAUGCCAUGCGCUCCCUUUCUCGGGAACCAUGGAAAAUUGGCGGUGUUGCUUGUUGCCUCGGAUGUAGAGCAUGUAGCGAGCAUGUUGCCCGUACUCAUUGCUCAUUAAGAGCUCUCGGUUGCUCGGAAAGAGAGACCGCCGCGCUCGGUUAUGGCUGUCGACUUGUCGAUCUAGCUAGUAACUUUGCCGACGUGAACAAUGAAUGCUACCUGGUGAUCCACCGAGAGCAA